UGGUGCAGAAGCGAGGCUCCGUGGACUGGCAGGAACCCUCUCACGGACCGGCAAGAACCCUCUCACGGACCGGCAGGAACCCUCUCACGGAUCGGCAGGAACCCUCUCACGGACCGGCAUCGGUCCACGGCCCAUAGUUUGAGAAACGCUGGGCUAGACCAAGGCUCAAGAUCUGCACAUUAAGGUAGUGCUCAGCAGAACAUCAUUCUCGUCCUGCUGCUGGGUGGCUCUCAGUCUUCAGCACGCGCCACACGCCGCUCUAUCGCAUUCAAGGAUCCUGCUCUGAGCUACAUUAACCCCCCGGCUGGGACUGAAACCAGCAACCUCCAGGUGGAAGUUCACAGCUUUGCCUUCCAUCCUGGCUGUUUAUUCAUUUGUGUCUGUGGUCCUGGGUGGCUCACCGGACCCCCGUCUGGCCUGUCUGCUGCCCAGCUCGCCUGCCCCCCCGUGCUGAAGAUACUCCAUGGGUCACACACUGCUCAUAUUUCACAGGC